CAGCAGCCGCGGGAAAACAGAGGGUGCGAGCGUUAAUCGGAUUUACUGGGCGUAAAGCGUGCGUAGGCGGCUUCUUAAGUCGGAUGUGAAAUCCCUGAGCUUAACUUAGGAAUUGCAUUCGAUACUGGGAAGCUAGAGUAUGGGAGAGGAUGGUAGAAUUCCAGGUGUAGCGGUGAAAUGCGUAGAGAUCUGGAGGAAUACCGAUGGCGAAGGCAGCCAUCUGGCCUAAUACUGACGCUGAGGUACGAAAGCAUGGGGAGCAAACAGGAUUAGAUACCCUGUAGUCCCUGUCUCUUAUACA
rnacentral:rRNA from 1 species